UCUUGAUUUAGUGGUAGGUUGUUUUCGACUUCCGGUUAUGUUCGUUUGUUAGCCAAAUAUUUGAAUGUUGUUUUGUUGUUGUUUGGGACAUUCAAUAACAUCCGAGUUAUGAGAUUUAAACGACCUAUAAUACAGCGUUUUGUUAAUUAUUACAUAGCUAGCUUAUUAGAUAUAUAACUGGUUAAUAAGUAUAAGCAUUCGAAGUAUAAACGGGUAGCGAUUAUUGGUCUGUCGUUAAGCUAGCUAGGCUAGCUAGGCUAGCCCAAACAGACACUGAACUGAACAGAAAGUGCCAGCCAACAUGACAAAUCACUGCCAACUCCGCCAGUGAACACUCAGGGGGAUGGUGUCGAGUGUUGUUGGUCAGUGUGUGUCUGAGCAGCGUGUCACCCAGGCAGUGUGAUUGACUAUGGCAAGGACAGACCACACGAUGACGUUAGGGUCCUGGCCAGCUUCAACAUCCACCGCAGCCAAGGUCGUCGGGCACGCAGGAGGAACUUCAUCACCAUAUCAGAUGACUCUGACGAGGAGCCGGUUCAUCUGGACCCCAACAGUCCUGUCCUGGUUUCUGACAAACCUGACGAUGAUGAUGAUGUCAGCAUACUAGAGGUAACCUUUAACCCCUGACCUCUCACCGUGUCCUGGUUUCUAACAAACCUGAUGAUGAUGAUGUCAGCAUACUAAAGGUAACCUUUAACCCCUGACCUCUCACCCUGUCCUGGUUU